CCUACGGGAGGCAGCAGUGAGGAAUAUUGGUCAAUGGACGAGAGUCUGAACCAGCCAAGUAGCGUGAAGGAUGACUGCCCUAUGGGUUGUAAACUUCUUUUAUAUGGGAAUAAAACAGGGUAUGCAUACCCUCUUGUAUGUACCAUAUGAAUAAGGAUCGGCUAACUCCGUGCCAGCAGCCGCGGUAAUACGGAGGAUCCGAGCGUUAUCCGGAUUUAUUGGGUUUAAAGGGAGCGUAGGUGGAUUGUUAAGUCAGUUGUGAAAGUUUGCGGCUCAACCGUAAAAUUGCAGUUGAAACUGGCAGUCGUGAGUACAGUAGAGGUGGGUGGAAUUCGUGGUGUAGCGGUGAAAUGCUUAGAUAUCACGAAGAACUCCGAUUGCGAAGGCAGCUCACUGGACUGCAACUGACACUGAGGCUCGAAAGUGUGGGUAUCAAACAGGAUUAGAUACCCCAGUAGUC
rnacentral:rRNA from 1 species